rnacentral:lncRNA from 1 species
UCCUCCAUUCUUGGCUUCCAAAUUGCAUAAUUUGUAGCCUUGAGAUUAAUCAUGCAACCUGCUGUCCAAUCCUCCAUUUAAUUCGCACAAGAAAACCACAAAAAAUAACCAAGCUCUAAUACCACUGUUGGGAAAAGUACGCCAAAAAUAAUCUAUAUCCCAGGAAUUACUUUUCCGUCUUUGUGCAAUUAAAUAUGAAAUCAACAAAACCAUUUAUGAGAACAAAAAUAACAAAUAACCAUCCAAAAGCAAGACACCAAAUUUACGUGGAAAACCCUCUAAAAUUAAGAGGUAAAAACCACGGGUCAAACUCCGAAUCUUCACUAUAUCACUAAUAAUGGGCUUACAAUAAUCCUCUCAAGUUUUAU